UGCCAUAUCAGAGGAAGAAACAGAAGCCAGUGCUGGUAGAAAUCCAAUAUCUCCUUCCUCCAAAAAAAAAGAAGUCUCCCUAGAACAAUAACCCUAGAGCAGAACAUUAAAGACUGAAUUGGGGAAAGAGUUUGGAAAGUAGGAAAUGAAGAUUGUUCCAGGCAUAGGAACCAUGGAAACAAAGAGUCAAAGACACUUUUGGAAAAAAUUAGCAUGGUGGAUAGGAACAUGGGGCCUUUACGCUUGACCUUGACCUUAGCUAAGAGGCUAGACUUGAGGUUUUCAGAAUCAGGCCUUCAAAUCCCAGUGUUGCCUUUGCAGAUAAGUGACCUUGGAUGAGUGUCUUACAGACUCUGAAUCUUAAUUUCCUCCCUGUAGAAUGAGAAUGAUAAUAAUAGUACCUACCCCAGACACUGUUGUGAGGUUCAACAUGUCAAACUCUAAGCAUAGUGUGGAAUGCAAGCAUGCAAUAAAAUCACAAACACACAGUAAACAUCUGCUUUUGACGAUGUUAUCUGACUUUGCCGUUCUCCAUGGUCCUCAAACUGAUAAUUUCUGCUUUGGUCUGAGUGCGUCUUUGGGCUGUUGACCACAGCAGGAACUACCUACAUGUCACAGGAUAGGCAGAACUAAAUAGACUCAAGCAUUACCUGUCACUGUCUAACAAGUAUCUCACAGCCAUGCAAAUGAUCCUUCAAGUGUAUAGGAAAGCCUCAUGAUGAACAAAACCAGAAGCAUCCUUCAAUGUAGUGUAACCUUAUGUCAAUAAACUUAUUCUCAAACAACAUAUACUCAAAGGAUAACUAUAGUCAUUUGAGGUUUUGUGGAAUUUUUUGAAUAUUAAAGAAGGUCCAAGUUGAGGGAUCUUCUACAAAGUAACUGGCUAAUACUUUCCAAAAGUGUCAAGGUCUUGAAUGAUGAAUGAAGGAGCAACUACUCUAGAUUGGAGGAGCAUAAGGAGGGAUGAUACAAUGUGUUAUCAUGUGUUCUCUGGAUGGGAUUCUAGACCAGAUAAAAGACCUAUGAGAUAAGGUGUGUAGAUUGGUUAGAAGUCUUAUAUCAAGGUUAAACUCCUGGUUUUGGUUAUUGUAUUAUGGUUAUGUAGAAUGUUAACCUUUGG
rnacentral:lncRNA from 1 species